rnacentral:rRNA from 1 species
UACGUGGGCAGCAAGCGUUGUUCGGAGUUACUGGGCGUAAAGGGUGCGUAGGCGGCCCUGUAAGUAUGGUGUGAAAUCUCCCGGCUUAACUGGGAGGGGGCCUCGAAAACUGCCAGGCUUGAGGCAUGGAGAGGGAUGCGGAAUUCCCGGUGUAGUGGUGAAAUGCGUAGAUAUCGGGAGGAACACCGGUGGCGAAGGCGGUUCUCUGGGCCUGUACUGACGCUGAGGAGCGAAAGCGUGGGGAGCGAACAGG